AAAACCAAAAUUAGAUAAACAUGUAGAAAGCUAUUCUACCCCUUGUUUGGACGGGGGUUCGAUACCCCCCAGCUCCACCA
rnacentral:tmRNA from 1 species